GUGCUCAGCGUCAGCAGCACAUACACUGAAGUUGGAACAACAUAGAGAAGAUUAGCAUGGCCCCUGCACAAGACUGAUAUGCAAAUUUGUGAAGUGCUGUGUAUUUUA